UAAUACGAAGGGUGCUAGCGUUGUUCGGAAUCACUGGGCGUAAAGCGCGCGUAGGCGGCCAAUCAAGUCAGGGGUGAAAUGCCGGAGCUUAACUUCGGAACUGCCUUUGAAACUGAUUGGCUGGAAGAUGAGAGGGGAUAGCGGAAUUUCUGGUGUAGAGGUGAAAUUCGUAGAUACCAGAAGGAACACCGGUGGCGAAGGCGGCUAUCUGGCUCAUUCUUGACGCUCUGGCGCGAAAGCGUGGGGAUCAAACAGGAUUAGAUACCCUGGUAGUCCACGCUGUAAACGAUGAGUGCUAGCCGUUGGGGCUUUAUGUCUCAGUGGCGCCGCUAACGCAGUAAGCACUCCGCCUGGGGAGUACGGUCGCAAGAUUA
rnacentral:rRNA from 1 species